AAAGUCUUGUCUUUAUCUAAGAACUUAUGUAUUUUGUGGUGUUUGUAUGCUUUUUGUGUUUUGAGUACUAUGUACUUUCUGAACAUCUUUUAUGUAUUCAAGCUUACAGUGAAUGAAAAGCAUAUCUUUUUGUCCCAUUAACUAUGCUUCUUGUAUGUUUUGACUCCUUGAUACUUCACCUUUUUGCUACGAUGACAGAAAGGGGGAAAACAUAUGAUAUAUUGUAAGUAAAGGAAAUCACUAAACAAGAAAACUGUUAAGCAAAAUGUGAUUUAUUUUUAGUGGAUUCGAUUCCUCGAGGUUCAUUAUUCCUCCAUUGGGGCUCCUCAAGGAGUAAUCUCCAGAGUCUAUUCAAGGAAUAUUCGGAGAUUAGUUGGAUCAUAGUCAAGAACAAAUUGUCAGAUUUUUUCUUCUAUAAUUUAGAACUUAAGUUCAGGUUUAAAACACUAAAAGUAAUUUCAGAAGACUUGAACAAAGUUCAAACAAAAUUGAAUGCACAUGUUGAGGGAGAGAAUCUGGAAUUCUAAGAAAACAAAUUUAUUAAAGAUAUAUAAGCCAAAUAAUUGAUUAUAUAAUUUGAAGGCUUAUAUAAUUUCAAAUGAAAGAGGGAGCUUUAAUUUCAGAGUUUACUAACUCAUACCUUUCAAUUUUGGAUACACUAAAUGACUAGACAUUUGAAUUCAUUUCAAAACUUUAUCUUGAAUCAUUCCUUGAAUGAGUAAUUCACUUUAUUAAUACUCAAUGUUUUGUCAGCAUAAAAAAGGAGGAGAUUGUGGAGUGAUUGAGUACUCCCUAAUUGAUUUUGAUGAGCUUAAAGCAUUUGAGUAUGCCUUAUGUUGUUCUAAUGAAUUCAAUCUAGUAUUUCAGGUAAAUCUUUAUGAAUUUCUGUCUAAGUGCCUUGAGAUUUGGUUCAGAGCAUUUUGGUUAAGUAUUGAACUCUAUUUGAACCAAAGUCUGCAUCACGAGUUGACUCCUGAACUUA
rnacentral:lncRNA from 1 species